UCCAGAGGAUGCAAUCGUUAUCCGGAAUUAUUGGGCGUAAAGAGCACGUAGGCGGCUUAUCAAGUCAGGGGUUAAAUCCCGCGGCUUAACUGCGGAACGGCCUUUGAAACUGAUCGGCUAGAGUAUGGUAGGGGUAGGGGGAAUUCCCGGUGUAGCGGUGAAAUGCGUAGAUAUCGGGAAGAACACCUGUGGCGAAAGCGCCCUCCUGGACCAUAACUGACGCUGAGGUACGAAAGCGAGGGGAGAGAAUAGG
rnacentral:rRNA from 1 species